UUGGAUCCCUGCAACACUAGUAUAUGCUUGCUUCAUAUCAGGAGCCUUUUCUUCAUUAGUUUAACUGAUCAAGGAUUAAUGUCUGCAAUGAUUGUUUUUUCAUGAAUGUUUUAGUACAAAUUUCAUUUUAUUACUUUAGCUGUAUCUGUGUAAUUACUACUGAAUUCGAUAUAUGUUGGCAUAUCAUAAUUAAUACUACACAUUCAUUUUCCUGUCUGUACCAGCACCGUUCAAUGACAUGAAGACAUACUUGUACGUCAGUGAAUAUUUAUCUCUUUUGUAAAUACGUGACAUCUCUUUUCAUUUUGAAUAAUUACCGAUACGCAUCUUACAAUAAGAAGGAUUGACGAGAGAAAAGUUAAUUAGGUAAACUAAAAACCUGAAAAAAACUGUCUAAAUAC
rnacentral:lncRNA from 1 species